rnacentral:rRNA from 1 species
AACGAACGCUGGCGGCAUGCCUAACACAUGCAAGUCGAACGGGAUCCUGGUUUCGGCCAGGUGAGAGUGGCGGACGGGUGAGUAACGCGUGGGAACCUGCCCAGUGGUGGGGGAUAACUGCGGGAAACUGCAGCUAAUACCGCAUGAGCCCGCAAGGGGAAAGAUUGAUCGCCAUUGGAGGGGCCCGCGUUCGAUUAGGUAGUUGGUGAGGUAACGCUCACCAAGCCUACGANCGAUAGCUGGUCUGAGAGGAUGAUCAGCCACACUGGGACUGAGAUACGGCCCAGACUCCUACGGGAGGCAGCAGUGGGGAAUAUUGGACAAUGGGGGCAACCCUGAUCCAGCAAUGCCGCGUGAGUGAUGAAGGCCUGG